UCAGAUGGCUGGAUGGCUGCCGCUUUAAGAUUUCGAUCUUAGAGGGGAGGAAAGUCCGGGCUCCACGGAGACACGGUGCCGGAUAACGCCCGGCGAGGGUGACCUCAGGGAAAGUGCCACAGAAAGUAAACCGCUUGGUCUUGAUCAAGUAAGGGUGAAAGGGUGCGGUAAGAGCGCACCGCGUUGGCAGUAAUGUCAACGGCAUUGUAAACCCCACCGGGAGCAAAACCGAAUAGGGGUGGCGCGCUUGAGUUGUAAAAUUCAAGCAGGUCCGUUUCCGGACUGCCGCCCGGGUUGGUUGCACGAGAUGUUCAGCAAUGGACAUCCUAGAUGAAUGGUCAUCCAUUGUUUAUGGCUGCUUGCAGCUGUGGAUGAGGACAGGACCCGGCUUACAGGCCGUCUGACACU
rnacentral:RNase_P_RNA from 1 species